AUUGAACGCUGGCGGCAGGCCUAACACAUGCAAGUCGAACGAGUGGCGGACGGGUGAGUAACGUCUGGGAAACUGCCUGAUGGAGGGGGAUAACUAAUGGAAACGGUAGCUAAUACCGCAUACAAUCAGAUGUGCCCAGAUGGGAUUAGCUGGUUGGUGGGGUAAAGGCUCACCAAGGCGACGAUCCCUAGCGGGUCUGAGAGGAUGACCAGCCACACUGGAACUGAGACACGGUCCAGACUCCUACGGGAGGCAUCAGUGGGGAAGAUUGCACAAUGGGCGCAAGCCUGAUGCAGCCAUGCCGCGUGUAUGAAGAAGGCCUUCGGGUUGUAAAGUACUUUCAUCAGGGAAGCGGUACCCGCAGAAUAAGCACCGGCUAACUCCGUGCCAGCCGCCGCGGUAAUAC
rnacentral:rRNA from 1 species